UCGGGAAUAUUGGACAAUGGGUGAGAGCCUGAUCCAGCCAUGCCGCGUGCAGGAAGAAGGCGUUAUGCGUUGUAAACUGCUUUUUGCCAGGGGAUAAAAAGACCGUGCGCGGUUAAUUGAAGGUACCUGGUGAAUAAGCCACGGCUAACUACGUGCCAGCAGCCGCGGUAAUACGUAGGUGGCAAGCGUUGUCCGGAUUUAUUGGGUUUAAAGGGUGCGUAGGUGGCCCUGUAAGUCAGUGGUGAAAUAUCUCAGCUUAACUGAGAGGGUGCCAUUGAUACUGCAGGGCUUGAGUACAGAUGAGGUAGGCGGAAUUGACGGUGUAGCGGUGAAAUGCAUAGAUAUCGUCAAGAACACCGAUAGCGAAGGCAGCUUACCAAGCUGUAACUGACACUGAGGCACGAAAGCGUGGGGAGCAAACAGGAUUAGAUACCCAAGUAGUCCCUGAGCGGGCUGGCAAGGCGCAU
rnacentral:rRNA from 1 species